rnacentral:sRNA from 1 species
ACGACCCUCAAGGUCGUUCCGGUUCCUGCGCUCCGUCCGCCUCGCCUGACGCUCGCUCGCUACGCCCCGCAACA